rnacentral:lncRNA from 1 species
AUGUAUCCAACAAGACACCAGCCAAAACAAAAUGAACACGCCGCUUCUCCUUCCUGGCGUGGCCGGCCAAUUUCCCCAAAUGACCUCUUAUCCAUCCAAAGGGCAUUACAUGACAGUAGGAAGGAAAACUACCACCUCCAGAAUAAAAUUCAAAAAGUUGAAGAAGAGAAACUUCAACUGGAGGAGAAGUGUAGACAGAUGGAAGCGCAAAAUAAAAACCUGGAGGAAAGACAACAACGCCAGCCCGACAUAGAAAUUAUUAAUGAGGGCUGGGGAAUCAGGUUUGGACAAGCCCGAGAGCAGAUCGUCUUCUUGAUUAAAGAAAACAAGCAGAAGACGGCGGAACUAAAGGAGAUGUCCAACCAGCUUCAAGACAGCAAAGCUACUGUUGAGAAGACAGAAUGGGAUCUCCAAUAUAUGGACCAAAUGAAUCAGCUGCUCCAAACCAAGUUCGAUGAAGCUGUGAAAAAAAAUAAAGAAAUCCUCCAACAGAAGGAAGAACAGGAGACAAAGCAAAUAGACUUGCAGCACAAACUCAAAGUCACGGAGGAAAAAUACAGAAUGCUGAAAGAAAAGUUGGAUGAAGCACUGUGCCAAAAUAAAGUCCUUCUUCAAGAGAAAGUGCAACAGCAAGAAACAUUGAAAGAAGAGAAACGUAUUGUCAAAGACUUUGAGGGUAAAAAUCUAAAACUGCAACAGUUUUGUAAUGAACUGAAGAACAAAACAAGUGAACUAGAAGGGGAAAAGGAAAAACUGGACAAAAGAUGCUCACAGAUGCAGAAAAGGAUUGAUCACAUGGCGAGAAACAACUCCGAGCUCACUAAGGGGAUAUUGUUGGAAUACAACAACUUGAAGCGCAAACACACUGAAAUGCAGGCGCAAAAGCAACACCAAGACAAAAUACAUGACGACCUGCAGCGUACUCUCCAAGACAUCCACAGAAGAAAUGAGGAGUUAGAAGACAUGUACAAAGAAGUACAAGAGAGAAAUGCAGACAUGCACAAGGACAAGCUAAUGCAGGAGGCAACAUCCAAAGAACUCAAAGAAAAGCUUGAAGAAAAACAAGCAGCAUUAGAAGAGGUGGAGCAAACAUGCAAGAAACUUGACAAGCAAAACGCAGAAACAAUCGAUCAGCUAAGAACCCUCAUCUUGGAGAAAAAGGCGCUUGUGGAAAAGUCCAUGAAAAAAAAGAAAAAAUGCUUCCGCUUGCCCUGGAGGAGGGACUCUGCUGCUUCACCUGAUGUAGCCUCAUCUUGCUCCACCUCUGUCCUUCCCCCAACCAGUCCCGGCAGUUGA